rnacentral:rRNA from 1 species
CCUAGGGGGGCAGCAGUGGGGAAUCAUGGUCAAUGGGCGAAAGCCUGAACCUGCGACGCCGCGUGAGUGAUGAAGGUCGUAAGAUCGUAAAACUCGUUUCAGGGAUCUUAAAGCCUGUCUGUCAACAACAGGCAGGUCUGACUCUCCCUGGAAGAAGCCCCAGCCAACUACGUGCCAGCAGCUGCGGUAAUACGUAGGGGGCGAGCGUUAUUCGGAAGUACUGGGUGUAAAGGGUAUGUAGGCGGCCCUUCAAGUCGCGUGUCAAAGUCCAGUGCUCAACGCUGGGUGUGCACGCGAUACUGACGGGCUUGAGGGCUGGAGAGGUGAGCGGAAUUCCCGGUGUAGUGGUAAAAUACGUAGAGAUCGGGAGGAACACCAGCGGCGCAGGCGGCUCACUAGACAGUUUCUGACGCUAAGAUACGAAAGCGUGGGGAGCAAACA